rnacentral:piRNA from 1 species
UGCCUUGCAAAUGUGAACCCGGCGAGAGA